rnacentral:rRNA from 1 species
GACGAACGCUGGCGGCGUGCCUAAUACAUGCAAGUAGAACGCUGAAGGAGGAGCUUGCUUCUCUGGAUGAGUUGCGAACGGGUGAGUAACGCGUAGGUAACCUGCCUGGUAGCGGGGGAUAACUAUUGGAAACGAUAGCUAAUACCGCAUAAGAGUAGAUGUCGCAUGACAUUUGCUUAAAAGGUGCAAUUGCAUCACUGCCAGAUGGACCUGCGUUGUAUUAGCUAGUUGGUGAGGUAACGGCUCACCAAGGCAACGAUACAUAGCCGACCUGAGAGGGUGAUCGGCCACACUGGGACUGAGACACGGCCCAGACUCCUACGGGAGGCAGCAGUAGGGAAUCUUCGGCAAUGGACGGAAGUCUGACCGAGCAACGCCGCGUGAGUGAAGAAGGUUUUCGGAUCGUAAAGCUCUGUUGUAAGAGAAGAACGAGUGUGAGAGUGGAAAGUUCACACUGUGACGGUAUCUUACCAGAAAGAGACGGCUAACUACGUG